CACGUAGGGCGCAAGCGUUGUCCGGAAUUACUGGGCGUAAAGCGCGCGUAGGCGGCUUUGUAAGUUAGAGGUGAAAGCCCGGGGCUCAACUCCGGAAUUGCCUUUAAGACUGCAUCGCUAGAAUCGUGGAGAGGUAAGUGGAAUUCCGAGUGUAGAGGUGAAAUUCGUAGAUAUUCGGAAGAACACCAGUGGCGAAGGCGACUUACUGGACACGUAUUGACGCUGAGGUGCGAAAGCGUGGGGAGCAAACAGG
rnacentral:rRNA from 1 species